rnacentral:rRNA from 1 species
AUGACCCCGACGGUGGCGGCGGCAGAGGCGGUCGGCGAGGAUGGCCGCUGGGGCGAGGAGGUGGAGCCGAUGACCCCGGCGGUGGCGGCGGCGGAGGGGUCCCAGGGGGCUCGAGGACCGACGUCUGAUGCGGUCGUGGUUCCUCGCCGUCAAGAACUAGAUCGAGCGCACGUCGGCGGUAGCCGUCCAGAGGAAGAGGAGGAGCACCCUGCGCCGGUUCGGCGGCCGUGGAACGGAGGAGAGGGAGAGAAAGGCCACCGGUGGCCCCAUGAAGGCUGA